rnacentral:rRNA from 1 species
GGUGGUAAUGCCGGAUGCUCCAUCACACCGCAUGGUGUGUUGGGAAAGCCUUUGCGGCAUGGGAUGGGGUCGCGUCCUAUCAGCUUGAUGGCGGGGUAACGGCCCACCAUGGCUUCGACGGGUAGCCGGCCUGAGAGGGCGACCGGCCACAUUGGGACUGAGAUACGGCCCAGACUCCUACGGGAGGCAGCAGUGGGGAAUAUUGCACAAUGGGCGCAAGCCUGAUGCAGCGACGCCGCGUGAGGGAUGGAGGCCUUCGGGUUGUAAACCUCUUUUGUUAGGGAGCAAGGCAUUUUGUGUUGAGUGUACCUUUCGAAUAAGCACCGGCUAACUACGUGCCAGCAGCCGCGGUAAUACGUAGGGUGCAAGCGUUAUCCGGAAUUAUUGGGCGUAAAGGGCUCGUAGGCGGUUCGUCGCGUCCGGUGUGAAAGUCCAUCGCUUAACGGUGGAUCCGCGCCGGGUACGGGCGGGCUUGAGUGCGGUAGGGGAGACUGGAAUUCCCGGUGUAACGGUGGAAUGUGUAGAUAUCGGAAAAGAACACCA